AGCCCCCCUCAAGAUGAGAUAUCCCUACGUAAAGUAGUAAGACCCCUUGAAGACGACGAGGUAGAUAGGGCAGAGGUGGAAGUGUGGUAACACAUGGAGCUGACUGUUACUAAUCGGUCGAGGGCAUAACCGA
rnacentral:rRNA from 1 species